rnacentral:rRNA from 1 species
AUGAGUAGCGAAAGCAGGGUGAGAAACCCUGCCGCCGGAUGACCAAGGGUUCCAGGGCCAGGCUAAUCCGCCCUGGGUGAGUCGGGACCUAAGGCGAGGCCGAGAGGCGUAGUCGAUGGACAACGGGUUGAUAUUCCCGUACCCGCGAAGAAGCGCCCAUGACGAACCUUGUUGUGCUAACCACCUGUCUUGCAUGAUCCUUCGGGUGAGUGUCGGAUGGCUGGGAACCUGGCAGGUAGUAGUCAAGCGAUGGGGUGACGCAGGAGGGUAGUUGAGCCCAGCGAUUGGAAAUGCUGGGGCAAGCGUGUAGGGCGGUGUGUAGGCAAAUCCGCACACCAUGGGCCUGAGACGUUAAGCGGAGCCGUAUUAGGUGAAGUCAAUGAUCCCAUGCUGCCAAGAAAAGCCUCUAGCGAGCUUCGAGCGGCCCGUACCCCAAACCGACACAGGUGGUCAGGUAGAGAAUACCGAGGCGAUCGGGCGAACUGUGGUUAAGGAACUCGGCAAAUUACCCCCGUAACUUCGGGAGAAGGGGGGCCACAGACUGUCAUACCCCACGCGGGUGGCAGCAGUAGGUGGCCGCAGAGACCAGGGGGAAGCGACUGUUUACUAAAAACACAGGUCCGUGCGAAGUCGUAAGACGAUGUAUACGGACUGACGCCUGCCCGGUGCUGGAACGUUAAGGGGACCGGUUAGUCCGCAAGGGCGAAGCUGAGAACUUAAGCGCCAGUAAACGGCGGUGGUAACUAUAACCAUCCUAAGGUAGCGAAAUUCCUUGUCGGGUAAGUUCCGACCUGCACGAAUGGCGUAACGACUUCCCUACUGUCUCAACCACAGGCCCGGCGAAAUUGCACUACGAGUAAAGAUGCUCGUUACGCGCGGAAGGACGGAAAGACCCCGGGACCUUCACUAUAGCUUGACAUUGGUAUCCGAAUUUAAUUGUGUAGUAUAGGUGGGAGGCUUUGAUCCGCGGACGCCAGUCCGUCGGGGAGCCAACGUUGAAAUACCACUCUGUUGAAUUUGGGUAUCUAACUUCGGACCGUGAUCCGGUUCAGGGACAGUGUCUGGUGGGUAGUUUAACUGGGGCGGUUGCCUCCUAAAAUGUAACGGAGGCGCCCAAAGGUUCCCUCAGCCUGGUUGGCAAUCAGGUGUUGAGUGCAAGUGCACAAGGGAGCUUGACUGUGAGACUGACAGGUCGAGCAGGGACGAAAGUCGGGACUAGUGAUCCGGCACCUGCGAGUGGAAGCGGUGUCGCUCAACGGAUAAAAGGUACCCCGGGGAUAACAGGCUGAUCUUCCCCAAGAGUCCAUAUCGACGGGAUGGUUUGGCACCUCGAUGUCGGCUCGUCGCAUCCUGGGGCUGGAGUAGGUCCCAAGGGUUGGGCUGUUCGCCCAUUAAAGCGGCACGCGAGCUGGGUUUAGAACGUCGUGAGACAGUUCGGUCCCUAUCCUCCGCGCGCGUAGGAGACUUGAGAAGAGCUGUCCCUAGUACGAGAGGACCGGGACGGACGAACCUCUGGUGUGCCAGUUGUCAUGCCAAUGGCACGGCUGGUUAGCUACGUUCGGAAGGGAUAACCGCUGAAAGCAUCUAAGCGGGAAGCUCGCUUCAAGAUGAGGUCUCCCACCCCUUGAGGGUUAAGGCCCCCAGCUAGACCACUGGGUUGAUAGGCCAGAAGUGUAAGCCUGGUAACAGGUUCAGCCGACUGGUACUAAUAGGCCGAGGACUUCACC